rnacentral:rRNA from 1 species
AUUGAACGCUGGCGGCAUGCCUUACACAUGCAAGUCGAACGGUAACGGGCCUUCGGGUGCCGACGAGUGGCGAACGGGUGAGUAAUGCAUCGGAACGUACCUUUCAGUGGGGGAUAACGUAGCGAAAGUUACGCUAAUACCGCAUAUUCUGUGAGCAGGAAAGCAGGGGAUCGCAAGACCUUGCGCUGAUUGAGCGGCCGAUGUCAGAUUAGCUAGUUGGUGAGGUAAAGGCUCACCAAGGCGACGAUCUGUAGCGGGUCUGAGAGGAUGAUCCGCCACACUGGAACUGAGACACGGUCCAGACUCCUACGGGAGGCAGCAGUGGGGAAUUUUGGACAAUGGGGGCAACCCUGAUCCAGCCAUGCCGCGUGAGUGAAGAAGGCCUUCGGUUGUAAAGACUCUUUCGGUCCGGAGGAAAUACGUAUGGGUUAAUAACCCUCGUUGCGGAUGACGGUACCGGCCAUAAGAAGACACCGGCUAACUACGUAGCCAGCAGCCGAC